UGGAAUGGUAGAGAGCCAGCUGGGCCUGGCACCAGGGAGGCACAGCAGGCACCUGAACGGCAUUCCUGCUCAAAUGAGGGCCACUGUGCACAGCAUGUCACCCCCUCACCCUGGGGGCUCAGCUGGACCUUCUGAGAGGACGCUGCUGUUCUGUCAUCUCAAACCCUUUAUUUGACACGCAGACCUGCCACACUAAGGCUUACUCCAGCUCUUAAGAGAUUAUAAAAUAUGCUUUAGCAGGCAUGUCCUUUGGUUCGAAGAGACACUUGUAGAUAAGAUGAAGUGACAACCAGGGAGCAACAUAGGGGAUUCGAAGGAGACAGACACUGCAUAUUCCCACGGAGUGAUAGAUGAGCCCUUGAGCCUUGAUUGUGAAGGUCAGAGUGAGCAGAUGGGGCCAGUCUACCCAGACGGGACAAAGUGUCUGGGGAAACACUUGAAAUAAACAUUCUACAGUCUGAGGCAAGAGCAAUCAACCAACCAGCAAGACAACCAACAAGAUCUUGGGUUCCAGAAUCCAAUCUGAAAAAGCCCAAAUGGCAUACAACAAUUUACCAAUAUAAUUUAUACUAUGUUUGUAUAUUAUAUUUAUAAUUUGUAUUACAACCAAAGUGGACACAUUCUGAAAACUGUGUAUAUUCACCAAACUACAAUCACAACAAAGAAUAUUUCCAUCCUCUGAAAAAUUUCUAUGUCCCUUGGCAGGGUCUUCUUCCCUGACACCAAACCCCAGACCACCGAUCUUUUGGUGUCUUUAUAUUAGUUGAUGUUUGUACAAAUGAUCACACUGCACAUGAACCCACUUGCAUCUGUGCAAUGAACUCAUGCUGUGUGAAUGCACUGUGUCCGGCUUCUCUCAUUCAGUAAAGAUGACUUGACAUCCA